rnacentral:rRNA from 1 species
UACGGAGGGUGCAAACGUUGCUCGGAAUCAUUGGGCGUAAAGCGCACGUAGGCGGUCUGUUAAGUCGGAUGUGAAAGCCCCGGGCUCAACCCGGGAGGUGCAUACGAAACUGGCGGACUUGAAUAUGGAAGAGGGUCGCGGAAUUCCCGGUGUAGAGGUGAAAUUCGUAGAUAUCGGGAGGAACACCAGUGGCGAAGGCGGCGACCUGGGCCAAUAUUGACGUUAAUGUGCGAAAGCGUGGGGAGCAAACAGG